CAAGGUGUAGAAGUUGAAUGCAAGAAUGCAAGAAGAUAAAAAAAUUUAAAAGAAGACCAAGUAAGCAUAAUACAAAUAAAAAGAUUUAUAGUGGUUCGAUGCCAAUCUUGCACCUACGUCCACUCUCUAAGCUCCUACUUGGGAAUUCAAAUCUACUAAACCGUAUUCAACCCAAAUACAAUGUCGGAACCUCCGACUCUAGCUAUUCCAAGCUAGAACACUUAUUUCUCGGGUAC
rnacentral:lncRNA from 1 species